AUUGAACGCUGGCGGCAUGCCUAACACAUGCAAGUCGAGCGGAGCGGCGGACGGGCGAGUAAUGCCUAGGAAUCUGCCUGGUAGCGGGGGAUAACGUCUGGAAACGGGCGCUAAUACCGCAUAAUAUCCGAUGAGCCUAGGUCGGAUUCGCUAGUUGGUGGGGUAAAGGCCUACCAAGGGGACGAUCCGUGACUGGUCUGAGUGGAUGAUCAGUCAGACUGUAACUGAGGCACGGUCCAGACUCCUACGGGAGGCGGCAGUGGGGAAUAUUGGGACAUGGGAGAAUGCCUGAACCAGCCAUGCCGCGUGUGUGAAGGAGGUCUUCGGAUUUUAAAGCACUUUAAGUUGGGAGGCGUUACCGACAGAAUAAGCACCGGCUAACUUCGUGCCAGCAGCCGCGGUAAUAC
rnacentral:rRNA from 1 species